rnacentral:rRNA from 1 species
AUUGAACGCUGGCGGCAGGCUUAACACAUGCAAGUCGAGCGGAGAGAGGUAGCUUGCUACCGAUCUUAGCGGCGGACGGGUGAGUAAUGCUUAGGAAUCUGCCUAUUAGUGGGGGACAACAUUUCGAAAGGAAUGCUAAUACCGCAUACGUCCUACGGGAGAAAGCAGGGGAUCUUCGGACCUUGCGCUAAUAGAUGAGCCUAAGUCGGAGUAGCUAGUUGGUGGGGUAAAGGCCUACCAAGGCGACGAUCUGUAGCGGGUCUGAGAAGAUGAUCCGCCAGACUGGGACUUAGACACGGCCCAGACUCCUACGGGAGGCAGCAGUGAGGAAUAUUGGACAAUGUGCGCAAGCCUGAUCCAGACAUGCCGCGUGUGUGAAGAAGGCCUUAUGGUUGUAAAGCACUUUAAGCGAGGAGGAGGCUACUUUAGUUAAUACCUAGAGAUAGUGGACGUUACUCGCAGAAUAAGCACCGGCUAACUCUGUGCCAGCCGCCGCGGUAACAC